rnacentral:rRNA from 1 species
GGUGAACGCUGGCGGCGUGCUUAACACAUGCAAGUCGAACGAUGAAGCCCAGCUUGCUGGGUGGAUUAGUGGCGAACGGGUGAGUAACACGUGAGUAACCUGCCCUUAACUCUGGGAUAAGCCUGGGAAACUGGGUUUAAUACCGGAUAGGAGCGCCUACCGCAUGGUGGGUGUUGGAAAGAUUUAUCGGUUUUGGAUGGACUCGCGGCCUAUCAGCUUGUUGGUGAGGUAAUGGCUCACCAAGGCGACGACGGGUAGCCGGCCUGAGAGGGUGACCGGCCACACUGGGACUGAGACACGGCCCAGACUCCUACGGGAGGCAGCAGUGGGGAAUAUUGCACAAUGGGCGAAAGCCUGAUGCAGCGACGCCGCGUGAGGGAUGACGGCCUUCGGGUUGUAAACCUCUUUCAGUAGGGAAGAAGCGAAAGUGACGGUACCUGCAGAAGAAGCACCGGCUAACUACGUG